GCCUCCAUAGCUCAAUUGGUAGAGCAGCGGACUCUUAAUCCGUUGGUUCCAGGUUCAAGUCCUGGUGGGGGCACCA
rnacentral:tRNA from 1 species